UGGGGAAUAUUGGACAAUGGGCGAAAGCCUGAUCCAGCAAUGCCGCGUGAGUGAUGAAGGCCUUAGGGUUGUAAAGCUCUUUUACUGGGGAUGAUAAUGACAGUACCCAGAGAAUAAGCCCCGGCUAACUCCGUGCCAGCAGCCGCGGUAAUACGGAGGGGGCUAGCGUUGUUCGGAAAUACUGGGCGUAAAGCGCACGUAGGCGGUGAAGUAAGUCAGAGGUGAAAUCCCAGGGCUCAACCCUGGAACUGCCUUUGAAACUGCUACACUAGAAUCAUGGAGAGGUCAGUGGAAUUCCGAGUGUAGAGGUGAAAUUCGUAGAUAUUCGGAAGAACACCAGUGGCGAAGGCGACUGACUGGACAUGUAUUGACGCUGAGGUGCGAAAGCGUGGGGAGCAAACAGG
rnacentral:rRNA from 2 species